rnacentral:rRNA from 1 species
AGAGUUUGAUUAUGGCUCAGGACGAACGCUGGCGGCGUGCUUAACACAUGCAAGUCGAGCGGGGAUUAUGGUGGAAAUUCUUCGGGAUGGAAGCUGUAAUUCUAGCGGCGGACGGGUGAGUAACGCGUGAACAAUCUGUCCCAGACAGGGGGAUAACAGAUGGAAACAUCUGCUAAUACCGCAUAAGACCACGGGGUCGCAUGGCCUUGAGGUAAAAGGAGCAAUCCGGUCUGGGGUGAGUUCGCGUCCGAUUAGCUAGUUGGCGAGGUAACGGCCCACCAAGGCGACGAUCGGUAGCCGACCUGAGAGGGUGAUCGGCCACAUUGGAACUGAGAGACGGUCCAA